ACAGGAUGGCCGAAUGCCUGCAGCAGCCCAGGCCAGGCUUGCAAAACGGCCACGGAUACGGUCCGGCGGCAUGUCGGUCAGCAGGAAGAUCUGGGCCGCUCUGUCCAGCCUGGCCCGGCAGUGGACCCUGGAGGAUGAGUUGGAACAGGAGCGAGAACGCCGGCGGCGACACCGGACCAAAGCUUCGCCAUGGACGACGAGGACCCGUCGGCCCCUGAGAGACUGCUGAGCGUGGAGGAAGCAGAGGGGCCCCGGCCCCAGGCCCCAGAGAUGAGGAGGAUGUCUGGGCCGUCCUAAGGAUGCGGCAGGAGAGGAGGCAGAGGCGCCGGGAGGCCCGCGUCCCAGAGCCGCAGGCCAGGCAGUCGCCCCCGGCGCCCGAGGAAUAGGUGCAGUCGCCGUCGGGCCGGAGACUGAGCCCAGAGAGCGGCUCCGCGAGGAGGGGGGUCUGGGGGGGCAGGGCGCCUGCGGGCUCCGAGAAGCCGUCUGCUGCGAAGACACUUGAGCCGAAAGCGAGCCUGGACCCUGAGACCCCCAGCCCCAGUAAAUGUUCCAUGUCCCAGAAGAUCGCUGUGCUGGCAAAGAGAACCGUCUCAGGAAAGAGGGCGGUUCCAGACAAAGCCAGCGUCUCGGAGAAGAGAAUGGUGUCUUAGAAAGCCACCGUCUUCGAGAAGACCCCGGCCCCCGAGACUCAGUCGGCCCCAGGCAGGGCCAUGGCCACAGCGCGGUGCACUCGUCCAGCCCGGGGGGCAGCAGGGUGCUGGGCCUGAGAAGGAGCCCGAGUUCUCGGCUGGGCCUCUGCCCCGGGCUGGCGGCCUCCCGCCCGUCACUCUGCACGGAUGCUGAGGCCGAGGUCCCCUCGCCGACACGGGCCUCGCCCACCUUCAGCAGCGCCCUGCAGCGCUCCAGCCCACGCACCACCUCCUUCCGGAUGAGCCCCCGGAGAGACAGCUCAGAGGCGGCCUUAACCCGCAGCGCCAGCGUGAGGCUCCCGGCCAGCUCGGUCAAAUUAGGCCCGAAGCUGGAGCGAUACCACACGGCCAUACAGAGAUCAGAGUCCGUCAAGUGUGCAAGCCCGUCCCGCACUGAGUUCCUCGUGGCUCCCGUGGAUGUCGCCAGCAAGCGCCACCUCUUCGAGAAAGAGCUGGUGGGCCAGAGCCGAGAGGGUCCAGCCUCCGGCCGCAAGGAGAACUUGCAGCUCUCAAGGGUGGUGACAUCGCGGCUCAACCUGUGGAUCAGCAGGACCCAGGAGUCAGCACAGCAGGGCCCGCAGAACCAGGAGACGCAGAGGGAGUCGGCAGCUGGCAGGAGCCCCCGCUGGGUGCCGAGGUGUGAGGAGCCAGUCUCAGGCCAACAGCCGCGCCGGUCGCCUUUCCCGCCCGCUUUCCGCCCUGGACCCGGGAGGACGCUGGCCGGCAUCCUCCCCGCCCCUCUGGGGCAGGCGUGCCCCGCGCCUUGUCCGGUUGCGGGCACUGCACGACUACACACAGCCUCGCCACCCUGUCCACGCGGACUCCUGCUCUUCCUCCUCCUCCGGGGCCGUCGGGUCGCACCGGUGUCUACGUGCACCUCUCUCAGGCUGGCCCCCACCGUCCCUGCGCCGCCUACCAGGCUGGAGAAGCCGCACUGA